CCUACGGGGGGCUGCAGUGGGGAAUAUUGCACACUGGGGGAAACCCUGAUGCAGCAACGCCGCGUGAGUGAUGAAGGCCUCCGGGUCGUAAAGCUCUGUCCUAAGGGAAGAAUACUGACGGUACCGUAGGAGGAAGCCCCGGCUAGCUAGGUGCCAGCAGCCGCGGGAAAACGGAGGGUGCUAGGGUUAUCCGGAAUUACUGGGCGGAAAGGGUGCGUAGGCGGCCCUUCAAGGCAGAGGUGAAAGGCUACCGCUCAACCGUAGUAAGCCUUUGAAACUGUAGGGCUUGAGUGGAGGAGAGGAGAGUGGAAUUCCCAGUGUAGCGGUGAAAUGCGUAGAUAUUGGGAGGAACACCAGUUGCGAAGGCGGCUCUCUGGACUGUAACUGACGCUGAGGCACGAAAGCGUGGGGAGCGAACAGGAUUAGAUACCCCAGUAGUC
rnacentral:rRNA from 1 species